UUUUCUAUUCUUUUCAACAUCUAUCUAACCUUUUUUCCAGGGUCAUAGUUUCCUUGCAUUGGGUUAGAACAUGUUCUUUUAGCUCAGAGAAGUUUGUUAUUACCUACCGUCUGA